GACAGAGGGUGCGAACGUUGUUCGGAAUUACUGGGCGUAAAGCGCGUGUAGGCGGCAAUGCAAGUCGGGCGUGAAAUCCCACGGCUCAACCGUGGAAGUGCACUCGAAACUGCAUAGCUAGAGUCCUGGAGAGGAAGGUGGAAUGCUUGGUGCAGAGGUGAAAUUCGUAGAUAUCAAGCGGAACACCGGUGGCGAAGGCGGCCUUCUGGACAGUGACUGACGCUGAGACGCGAAAGCGUGGGGAGCAAACAGG
rnacentral:rRNA from 1 species